rnacentral:rRNA from 1 species
GAUGAACGCUGGCGGCGUGCCUAAUACAUGCAAGUCGAGCGAACGGACGAGAAGCUUGCUUCUCUGAUGUUAGCGGCGGACGGGUGAGUAACACGUGGAUAACCUACCUAUAAGACUGGGAUAACUUCGGGAAACCGGAGCUAAUACCGGAUAAUAUUUUGAACCGCAUGGUUCAAAAGUGAAAGACGGUCUUGCUGUCACUUAUAGAUGGAUCCGCGCUGCAUUAGCUAGUUGGUAAGGUAACGGCUUACCAAGGCAACGAUGCAUAGCCGACCUGAGAGGGUGAUAGGCCACACUGGAACUGAGACACGGUCCAGACUCCUACGGGAGGCAGCAGUAGGGAAUCUUCCGCAAUGGGCGAAAGCCUGACGGAGCAACGCCGCGUGAGUGAUGAAGGUCUUCGGAUCGUAAAACUCUGUUAUUAGGGAAGAACAUAUGUGGAAGUAACUGUGCACAUCUUGACGGUACCUAAUCAGAAAGCCACGGCUAACUACGUG